GACGAACGCUGGCGGCGUGCCUAAUACAUGCAAGUAGAACGCACAGUAUAUACCGUAGCUUGCUACACCAUAGACUGUGAGUUGCGAACGGGUGAGUAACGCGUAGGUAACCUGCCUGGUAGCGGGGGAUAACUAUUGGAAACGAUAGCUAAUACCGCAUAAUAUUGAUUAUUGCAUGAUAAUUAAUUGAAAGAUGCAAUUGCAUCACUACCAGAUGGACCUGCGUUGUAUUAGCUAGUAGGUGAGGUAACGGCUCACCUAGGCGACGAUACAUAGCCGACCUGAGAGGGUGAUCGGCCACACUGGGACUGAGACACGGCCCAGACUCCUACGGGAGGCAGCAGUAGGGAAUCUUCGGCAAUGGACGAAAGUCUGACCGAGCAACGCCGCGUGAGUGAAGAAGGUUUUCGGAUCGUAAAGCUCUGUUGUAAGAGAAGAACGGGU
rnacentral:rRNA from 1 species